rnacentral:lncRNA from 1 species
GCUUUGAGUUUGUGAUCUCUUCUAGCCCAAGGGUCACAACGGGAUUUGGCAUGAGACAGUGACUUUAAGAGUCCUUUAUAAAUAGAGUUUGUUUGCAUUAACUAAAAAAAAAUUCAUUCUGGCUUUGAUUUUCGGCGAUUUGUUUCUUGGCUGAGUAACAUUUUUUAUGAAAUAAGCAACAAAACGCAGGACAUCAGAACGACUGUUGAAGAAAUGAAACAAUCAAGAUGCCCACAUUAAACCGCUGGAAAUCGGACAAUAAAGAUGGAGAAGACAUAGCAGUUUUAAUAAACUGAAACCAAGUGACAACACACACAGUUCCGUUUCUCCGUGCUCGGGCCUGAGCGUGAAGCCUGAACACUCACAGCAGUUUGAGGAAGGAGCGUCUAGGUGUGGCUCUGCUUCCCAUUUUGUACAGUGCGCUGCUGUCCGAGAUCUACAGACCAGAUUCUCUUCGUUUUCCUGCCCUCCUCAGACUUGAUAAUCGCUUCAAGUUCGCCGAUUCCUUUUCCUACUUAAACCUGCUGUCGCACCUCCCCAGUAACACUCCACUCCAGGUACUAGAGGUUUUGGUCUGUGAUUGUUUUUUGGCGGCACGGGAUUGGACCGGUCCUUGUUCAUGCUAGCCAGGCGCUCCACCCUAAGCUACAUCCCAGUACUUUCUUAGAGUUUAUCUUAAGACAGAGUCUCACAAAGUUGCCCAGGCUGGCCUCAAACGUUCAGUCUUCCCCAGGUACCUGGGAUAACAGGCAUGAAUCCC